rnacentral:rRNA from 1 species
GACGAACGCUGGCGGCGUGCUUAACACAUGCAAGUCGAACGGAAAGGCCCUGCUUUUGUGGGGUGCUCGAGUGGCGAACGGGUGAGUAACACGUUAGUAACCUGCCCUUGACUUUGGUAUAACUUCAGGAAACUGGGGCUAAUACCGGAUAGGAGCUCCUGCUGCAUGGUGGGGGUUGGAAAGUUUCGGCGGUUGGGGAUGGACUCGCGGCUUAUCAGCUUGUUGGUGGGGUAGUGGCUUACCAAGGCUUUGACGGGUAGCCGGCCUGAGAGGGUGACCGGCCACAUUAGGACUGAGAUACGGCCCAGACUCCUACGGGAGGCAGCAGUGGGGAAUAUUGCACAAUGGGCGGAAGCCUGAUGCAGCAACGCCGCGUGCGGGAUGACGGCCUUCGGGUUGUAAACCGCUUUCGCCUGUGACGAAGCGUGAGUGACGGUAAUGGGUAAAGAAGCACCGGCUAACUACGUG